rnacentral:rRNA from 1 species
CAAUAGCGUAUAUUUAAGUUGUUGCAGUUAAAAAGCUCGUAGUUGGAUUUCGGUUGAGAGCGGCCGGUCCGCCGUUUGGUGUGCACUGGCUGGUUUCAACUUCCUGUAGAGGACGUGCUCUGGGUUUAACGACCUGGACUCGGAGUCUACGUGGUUACUUUGAAAAAAUUAGAGUGUUCAAAGCGGGCUUACGCUUGAAUAUUUCAGCAUGGAAUAACACUAUAGGACUCCUGUCCUAUUUCGUUGGUCUCGGGACGGGAGUAAUGAUUAAGAGGAACAGUUGGGGGCAUUCGUAUUUCAUUGUCAGAGGUGAAAUUCUUGGAUUUAUGAAAGACGAACUUCUGCGAAAGCGUUUGCCAAGGAUGUUUUCAUUA